rnacentral:rRNA from 1 species
AUUGAACGCUGGCGGCAUGCCUUACACAUGCAAGUCGAACGGCAGCACGGGAGCAAUCCUGGUGGCGAGUGGCGAACGGGUGAGUAAUAUAUCGGAACGUGCCCAGUCGUGGGGGAUAACGUAGCGAAAGCUACGCUAAUACCGCAUACGAUCUAUGGAUGAAAGCGGGGGAUCGCAAGACCUCGCGCGAUUGGAGCGGCCGAUAUCAGAUUAGGUAGUUGGUGAGGUAAAGGCUCACCAAGCCGACGAUCUGUAGCUGGUCUGAGAGGACGACCAGCCACACUGGGACUGAGACACGGCCCAGACUCCUACGGGAGGCAGCAGUGGGGAAUUUUGGACAAUGGGCGCAAGCCUGAUCCAGCAAUGCCGCGUGCAGGAUGAAGCCU